GUCGAUUUGUAACAGGUUAAGCUGUUUAGUGGCGAUUUGGUGAGUAAUAUAUCGGAUUUUGCCCAGUCGUGGGGGAUAACUGCUCGAAAGAGCAGCUAAUACCGCAUUUUACCUGAGGGUGAAAGCGGGGGAUCGCAAGACCUCGCGCGAUUGGAGUUUUCCGGAUAUCAGAUUAGGUAGUUGGUGGGGUAAAGGCCCACCAAGCCAUUUAUCUGUAGCUGGUCUGAGAGGUUUACCAGCCACACUGGGACUGAGAUUGAGAUGCCCAGACUCCUUUUGGAGGCAGCAGUGGGGAACUCUGGACAAUGGUUUCAAGUCUGAUCCAGCCAUGCCGCGUGCGGGAAGAAGGCCUUCGGGUUGUAAACCGCCUCUGUCAGGGAAGAAUUUCUCUGGGUUAAUACCCUGGGGUAAUGUUUGUACCUGAAGAAUAAGCACCGGCUAAUUGAGAUUUGCCAGCAGCCGCGGUAAUUUUUAGGGUGCAAGCGUUAAUCGGAAUUACUGGGCGUAAAGCGUGCGCAGGCGGUUAUGCAAGACAGAGGUGAAAUCCCCGGGCUCAACCUGGGAACUGCCCUCGUGACUGCAUGGCUAGAGUUUUGUAGAGGGGGAUGGAAUUCCGCGUGUAGCAGUGAAAUGCGUAGAUAUGCGGAGGAACACCGAUGGCGAAGGCAAUCCCCUGGACCUGUACUGUUUCUCAUGCUUUAAAGCGUGGGGAGCAAACAGGAUUAGAUACCCUGGUAGUCCUUUCCCUAAA
rnacentral:rRNA from 1 species